CCAGGAACCAGCGACCCGUUGGCUCCUGGCAAACCAAGGGACCACCAGAGUCUCCCUGACAGAGACAGAUGUUAAUAGUUCAGGGGAAGAAGCAGGCAGUGAAAGUGGAGGUACCUGGCCUCAUGCUGUUGGAGGACUGGCUAAAUGGAUCUGUGAAACUAUCAAUGCCCUUCCCUCUUUCUUUCCUCACCCCCCUCACGGAGAGCGCCCCAGCCGGUGACCCAGCAAAGUAGGUCCGGCUCCAGU